CCUACGGGGGGCAGCAGUGAGGAAUAUUGGUCAAUGGACGAGAGUCUGAACCAGCCAAGUGGCGUGAAGGAUGACUGCCCUAUGGGUUGUAAACUUCUUUUAUAUGGGAAUAAAAUGUUCCACGUGUGGGAUUUUGUAUGUACCAUAUGAAUAAGGAUCGGCUAACUCCGUGCCAGCAGCCGCGGUAAUACGGAGGAUCCGAGCGUUAUCCGGAUUUAUUGGGUUUAAGGGGAGCGUAGGUGGAUUGUUAAGUCAGUUGUGAAAGUUUGCGGCUCAACCGUAAAAUUGCAGUUGAAACUGGCAGUCUUGAGUACAGUAGAGGUGGGCGGAAUUCGUGGUGUAGCGGUGAAAUGCUUAGAUAUCACGAAGAACUCCGAUUGCGAAGGCAGUUCACUGGACUGCAACUGACACUGAGGCUCGAAAGUGUGGGUAUCAAACAGGAUUAGAUACCCCAGUAGUC
rnacentral:rRNA from 1 species